ACCUUUAGAAAGUUGAACUAGAAAUUGGGCGAAUCCAAUGUGAGCAACAUUUUGUAAAAAUGGGCUGAGGGGGUCAAUGAAUAAUGCGCAUGGACAUACGUGCCGCAUGUACUUCCCAUCUAGUGGCGAAUCGGUUCAGUGAUGUCCGGCUCUGCCUCCCCCUCAAAAUCACUCUAAACCCAAACCAGCAGCACUCGGACCCCAAUGCCUCUCGCGCCCUCUCAGCCUGCCGUCCAAUUGUUCGAUUCCGAUUCCGAUGUCGAUGACGACGAUCAAAUGGUUGAAGAAGAUGAGGAAGAAGAAGAAGUAGAAAAAGAUGUGGAAGAAGAAGAACCAGAAGAAGAAGAACAAGAGUCAGAAGAAGAAGAAGAAGUUGACGACGUUGAAGGAGAAGAAGUUGAUCGAGUUGAAGCUGAUGAUGAUCAUAAAGAUGUUAGACAAGAUGUGAAGUCUGUGGAACAUUAUGGGCGCUUGGAAUUGGGUUCAUCCACUCAAGGGAAAUUUAGAAACAUGCUACCCUCAAAUGCCUUUGGUGUGGACCAAAGUAGUUUUGGUUCCAAGAAGGAAACCUUGAAUAUACAGAGUGAGGGGCUACGUAUAAAACCUGGGAGAUAUUUGUCUUUAGGUGAAAAUAAGGGAAUUCUUCUAGAUAAUAUGAAAGAUGCUCAGACCCUUACAGAUAAGAAUUCCUCUAAAAGCUGCAUCGAACACCAUUCUAAUAGCAACUCUUAUUUGUGUAAAAGUGAGAUUAUGUCUGCUAAAACCACCAACUCAUGUCAUGUCACUGGGAAAGGUGCGGUUGUUGCCAUACAGAUGCGUGAUUGCUUUGGUAAGGAGGCCAAUGAUGUUUGGGAUCCAGAAGAUGAAAUUAAGCAAACGGACAAGCAGUCAGGAGAUGAUGAAAAGCAAGCAGCAUCAAGGAUUUUCAGAUUGGCUUCUGAGAUUGGUACUCAAAGUCUGUCCUCUGGUGCUGGGAUUGAUAAUGGAGAUAAACGACCAGCAAUUGUCUGUGACUUUUUUGCUAAGGGUUGGUGCAUAAAAGGUAGUAUGUGUAGGUUUCUUCAUAGAAAAGAUAAUCUGAAUAAUACACAUGCGCAGGAUGAGGGAGUGGCUUUUGCUGCAAAUAGGAAAGAUGUCCAGCUUGAUGAAGGUGUUAGAGGCAGUACAGAUUUUCAUGAUCCAAUAGCUCCUUUAGUUGGAAUUAACUCUGCAUUUCCUUUGCAUCUCACUUCAGAAGGUAUUCAGAAAUUAGAACGGAUAGUAAGUGAAAGAAGCAUUCAAUUUCCUGAAGAACGUGAUUGUUUUGCUCUUCACAAAGAGAUAUUAUCUGUUGGUACUUGUCCUGAUGCCAAGCAAAUGGCUUCCGCUAGCGGUUAUCCAGUCCUUUCCCCCUUAUUUGAGGAUGUAGAAAGACAGAGUAAGAGGCAACAUUGGCCUACUAAUGAUUGCGGCAGCCAUUUGUUGCUGGCUAAUAGAAGUGGUUCUGUAUUCAGGAACAGCUUGCAUCCUGAAUAUGGAUUUUCUUCAAGUGGGUAUACCAUAACUGCAGAUAAGUAUGGUAUUGGGAAGCUCUCUUCUCAUUCUACCAGCUUGGAGGAAUUGGCUAGCAGCCGCAGCUGUCGUCCAUCAUUGAGCCACUCUCCAAAUUCAAUCUCAAGUAAUCAUCUUUUAGGCACUGGCAUGCUUUCCUGUAACUCUAUUUCAUCCGGGAAUGGAUUGCCGCCAUUUAGUUAUUCCUCGUUGUAUGCAAGCUCUCUCAGAUCAUCUUCCUUUCUACGAAGUUCUCCCAUCUCCUGUUCUGAGCUAGAUAAUUUACCUUCAACCAGCAUAUCAUUGCCUUCUGCUGAACUUAAAUCAAAAAUUUCUUCAGAUGAUUGGGAGCCUUCUGUACCCUUCAGACCAUCUUUCUUCAUUCCUCCGGCAAUCUCAUCUCCAAGAAGCCAAUAUGACCCACUUCGUGAUAGUUUUGAGUUACCCAAGUUGGGAGAUGUAUCUUUGAAAGCAUUUUAUUGCCAAGGAUCAUCCAAGAUGAAUGCAUCCAAUCAGCAAACAUUUGGUGAUUCUGUUACAGGGACCGUGGGCUUGUCAUCAAAUGAAGAUAUAAAUUCUGUUUCUUCUCAUAAUAUCCGUAGUGAGAAUGUGUUAAAUAAGAGUUGCCAUACACAUGAGAAAGAUAUGCCGGCAAAUGAAGCAAAGGCUUUGGGAAUGUCUGUUGGCUCACAAAACGAGGCAUUGUCGAAAGAAGAGAAUGCCCUGGACCUAUCUGAUGUUGAAGAUAAUAUCAAUAUGAACAAAAUCAGUGAGCAUUGUGAUAGUAGACAUCAAAGGGAUGGGUCAAGGCAAGUAAAGGAUUUAAAAGUAGAUAGGGUUGGACAAAACAAAGAAGAGGAGGUUGACUGUAUAAUGGGAGAAAAUAUGCAUAAAGAAUUAAAACCUAUGAGGCAUUUCCGUGCUGCUCUUGUAGAUUUGGUGAAAGAGUUGUUAAAACCAAAAUGGCGUGAGGGUAAUUUACGUAAGGAUGCUCAUAACAAGAUAGUUAGAAAAGCAGUUGAGAAGGUUCUUAGCUCCCUGCAGCACCAACAGAUACCAUCUACCACAGAAUCAGUCAAGCAAUAUCUUUCUUCAUCUCGUCUAAAAAUCAAUAAGCUUGUUGAGGGAUAUGCUGAUAAAUAUGGCAAAACUUGAGAUGCUAGAAAAUACCCAUAAUGAACUGCCCUUGAUACCUUUGCUGUUCCAAUCGACGCCUACCUAGUUUCUUUGAAACAAGAAGGAGAACAUUUACCUUACCUUGGGAUUUAUAGUUGUGGUUUCCAGAUCCUGUGUCUAUGAAUGGUUUAUACGUAGGUGGAGAUAUUUGUUAAUUAAGUGCUGUUGAUUGCUUACAUGAUGCUGCUUCGAUUGAGAAAGGAAUGUUUGUGGUAGGAGCUGGCCAUUUGAAAUGAAAAGGUUGGAUGGGGGAUUCUUUGUUGAAGCAGUAGGAGUGUUCGAUGUUGGUCUUGACUGACUGAAUUCAAAUUCUGGGUCUUCGUUGUGAAUUUGAUUGGCAGUGUUGGUAGAAGCGGACUUCCAUUGCUGAUCUUGAAUACAUACUAGCCCAGCAAAGGAGAGUGAGUCAAGAGAGCUGGCAUCCGCAGCAACAUCUACAGAAAUCUUGUUUUGUGGGCGGUUUUCCAUUGAAUAUGUGAUGCACGUUGGAUGCAAGAGCUCACAGCUCAUAUAUGCAGCUCUACAUUGAAUGCAUAUGGAUGUAUCUAUUUGUUCUGUUUUGUUUGUUGGUUCUUCUUGUUAAUUCUUUCCGCUUUUAUCCUUUUGCCGCGUGUCAUGGAAUUUUUAUUUAAAAUAUUACUACAGUACUGGUAUCACCAAAUUUUAUUUACUA